CUGGGCUCCUACACAAUUCUCACAAAAAUAAUUUUUGCCAAAGUAACCACUCUUGCUGAAAAGACCAAGAAAAAUCCAUCUCACAGAUGAAAGUGUGGAGAACUCUGGAAGAAUGGCCAAGGGCUUCCAUUUCUCCCCUGCCCCCCUCUUUCAUCUACCACUUCAGACCACGGUUAAUGAGAUGAAUCUCUUUGUGGGUUUGCCAAGCUGUGUAUGGGUUUUAAAACAACAACAGUUCUGGUAAUGA